rnacentral:rRNA from 1 species
AGUGAACGCUGGCGGUAGGCCUAACACAUGCAAGUCGAACGGCAGCACAGUAAGAGCUUGCUCUUACGGGUGGCGAGUGGCGGACGGGUGAGGAAUACAUCGGAAUCUACUUUUUCGCGGGGGAUAACGUAGGGAAACUUACGCUAAUACCGCAUACGACCUACGGUUGAAAGCAGGUGAUCUUCGGACCUUGCGCGAUUCAAUGAGCCGAUGUCGGAUUAGCUAGUUGGCGUGGUAAAGGCCCACCACGACGACGAUCCCUAGCUGGUCUUAUAGGAUGAGUUGCUACACUGGAACUGACACAGGCUCUAGACACCUACGUGCGGAAGCGGUUGGUAAUUAUCGACAAUAGGCGCAAGCCUGCUACAGCCAUAACGCGUGGGUGCAGAAGGCGGUUGAGUUUUAGAGCCAUUUUGUUGCGAAAAAAAAGCAGCUGAUUAAUACCCCGGUGUUCUGACGGUACCCAAAGAAUAAGCACCGGCUAACUUCGUG